rnacentral:rRNA from 1 species
GGGUUGUGAGGUUAAGCGACUAAGCGUACACGGUGGAUGCCCUGGCAGUCAGAGGCGAUGAAGGACGUGCUAAUCUGCGAUAAGCGUCGGUAAGGUGAUAUGAACCGUUAUAACCGGCGAUUUCCGAAUGGGGAAACCCAGUGUGAUUCGUCACACUAUCAUUAACUGAAUCCAUAGGUUAAUGAGGCGAACCGGGGGAAGUGAAACAUCUAAGUACCCCGAGGAAAAGAAAUCAACCGAGAUUCCCCCAGUAGCGGCGAGCGAACGGGGAGCAGCCCAGAGCCUGAAUCAGU